rnacentral:tRNA from 2 species
CCUUCAAUAGCUCAGUUGGUAGAGCGGUGGACUGUAGAUUUGUUAACGUUUAAUAGUAACCCAUAGGUCGCUGGUUCAAAUCCGGCUCGAAGGA